GGGAUAUCAACAAAAUUCCAGGCGCCAUUACUAGAUAGACCCGCGUAGAGCCGACAUUGCUCCUGGUCGGAGCCUGUUUGCUAAUACAGCGUGUGUCUCUCAAUAUCGGUACUUCCUCUGUUAGGUAAAACCGUUCAUCUCGUGACCGUGGCUACGUUUGGCGACCAGUUGUGUCACCUCGAGCUCAAGUAUUGGGGAUCUCCCCAAAAGAAAGGCCCGAUGUUCCUAUAUCUCCGACAUAUAUAUACGCAACGAGGGUGUAGGAAGAAAUAGAGAUAAACUUUUAUUGAAAUAACCAAAGCGACUCAAA
rnacentral:misc_RNA from 1 species